CCUGAGAAACCCAAAAGAUCGAAUGGGGAGAUUCAUCGUCAGCGCAUUUUGUAUAUAUGUAAGUUAUGAUGUGGGUUACUCUUUGUAGUAUUGCCUACACAUUCUUAUAUAUUUAGUAGCAAUAUGUUUGUCGGCGUGCACUUCUCCCCUAGUAGGACGUCGCGACCCGUUGGGUGUUGGUCUACGGCCCAAUUGGAAGCCCUUAAUGCUUAAAAUACAUUAAAGACAAUUGGUGUUACCUGACCCAGCUGCCCGGCGGUAUUCGUAUGGUAUUUAGCCGCAAAUAUUAUUGUAUGCGUCCAAUCCGUCGCAAGCGAGACCAGUUUACGGUAGAACGGACCUAGUGCCGUCGCUGUCUCUGGCCAGCUGUUGGUUGUUACGGUAUUCUGGGACUGGCUAAAAUUAUUACCGGUCGGCGAUGCUACUGCUUUGGGUACUUUCAGGACCCGUCUUGAAACACGGACCAAGGAGUCUAACAUGUGCGCGAGUCAUUGGGAUAUUUUUUAAUGAAACCUAAAGGCGUAAUGAAAGUAAAGGUCGUCCUUGCGUCGACUGAGGGAGGAUGGACUGUAUUAUGAUACAGCCCCGCACUCCCGGGGCGUCUCAUUCUCAUUGUGAGAAGAGGCGCACCCAG
rnacentral:rRNA from 1 species